rnacentral:lncRNA from 1 species
UGCAAUCCAAUACAUGCAUUCUACCAAACAGUUUUAGACUUUCACUGCACUCAAUAAGUGAUUUAGGAUUAGUUUGUCAGAAUGAGAGUGCAUGAUAUAGUCGAUACACAAAUAUAGAAGGCAAUCUAGAAAUAAGAAGACCUACUUGUGUACUGUCAUCCCUAGACAUUGCUUCUCUGGCCAUUGUCCCAAAAGAGCAUGAAGUAGGAAAUAAGAACAAGCAUAAAGUGAAUGGAAAAGAAUAUAAACUUUAUGCAGUUAGAACACAAGUAUAUCAAAUUUGGAUAAAAAGCAGGUGCAAUAGACAUGGAAACAACAAGAGAAUGAAAGACAUCACUUGAAUCAUGACAUCUAUCGGUUUGGCAGGCAAAUAAGCAAAGAGUAGUGAUGCUAGUAAGUCUGAACUAUAAACUACCUGUUUACUGCAUCUGCGAAAUGACAAGCAUUAAUAUUCUUUUAGUUAUAGAAUGGCUUUUUUGUU